rnacentral:rRNA from 1 species
UGGGGAAUAUUGGACAAUGGGGGGAACCCUGAUCCAGCCAUGCCGCGUGUGUGAAGAAGGCCUUAUGGUUGUAAAGCACUUUAAGCGAGGAGGAGGGUACUGGUAUUAAUACUACCAGCUACUGGACGUUACUCGCAGAAUAAGCACCGGCUAACUCUGUGCCAGCAGCCGCGGUAAUACAGAGGGUGCGAGCGUUAAUCGGAUUUACUGGGCGUAAAGCGUGCGUAGGCGGCUAAUUGAGUCGGAUGUGAAAUCCCCGAGCUUAACUUGGGAAUUGCAUUCGAUACUGGUUAGCUAGAGUGUGGGAGAGGAUGGUAGAAUUCCAGGUGUAGCGGUGAAAUGCGUAGAGAUCUGGAGGAAUACCGAUGGCGAAGGCAGCCAUCUGGCCUAACACUGACGCUGAGGUACGAAAGCAUGGGGAGCAAGCAGG